GAUGAACGCUAGCGGCAGGCUUAAUACAUGCAAGUCGAGGGGCAGCACGGGUAGCAAUAUCUGGUGGCGACCGGCGCACGGGUGCGUAACACGUAUACAAUCUGCCUUUAACAGGGGGAUAGCCCGGAGAAAUACGGAUUAAUACCCCAUAACAAUCCCGAAGGCAUCCUCGGGAUUUAAAAGCUACGGCGGUGGGAGAUGAGUAUGCUUCUGAUUAGCUAGUUGGUGAGGUAACGGCUCAGCAAGGCGACGAUCAGUAGGGGAUCUGAGAGGAUUAACCCCCACACGGAUACUGAGACACGGAUCCGACUCCUACGGGAGGCAGCAGUAAGGAAUAUUGGACAAUGCCCGCAAGGGUGAUCCAGCCAUGCCGCGUGCAGGAAGACGGCCCUAUGGGUUGUAAACUGCUUUUGUACCGGAGAAAACCUCCCCUCGUGAGGGGAGCUGAUAGUAUGGUAAGAAUAAGCAUCGGCUAACUUCGUGCCAGCCGCCGCAGUAAAAC
rnacentral:rRNA from 1 species